rnacentral:misc_RNA from 1 species
CGGAAACAACCUCUCUACCUCCAAAGGUAGUGGUAAGGUUUGUCCUCCCUAUACCCAACUUGUGGGAUUACACUAGGUAUGUUAUUGUUGAGAAUUUCAUAUCAAUAGAGAUUAUUCCAUGUCAUUAACUCAUAAUCUUUUUUGCCUAUGGUACAUUAAGUUCAUCUGUUGGAUUAUGCAUUGUGCUCCCAUAUGAUUCUCUGGG